rnacentral:rRNA from 1 species
UACGGAGGGUGCAAGCGUUAUCCGGAUUCACUGGGUUUAAAGGGUGCGUAGGCGGUUUUGUAAGUCCGUGGUGAAAUCUCCGAGCUUAACUCGGAAACUGCCAUGGAUACUAUAAGUCUUGAAUGUUGUGGAGGUUUGCGGAAUAUGUCAUGUAGCGGUGAAAUGCUUAGAUAUGACAUAGAACACCGAUUGCGAAGGCAGCAGGCUACACAAAUAUUGACGCUGAGGCACGAAAGCGUGGGGAUCAAACAGG